CCCAACUAUCCCUAUUAAUCAUUACAUCGAUCCUAGAAACCAACAAAAUAGAAUCAAAACGUCCUAUUUCAUUAUUCCAUGCUAAUGUAUUCAAGCGUAAGCCUGCUUUAAACACUCUAAUUUUUUCAAAGUAACAGUCCUGAUUCCCCAUGACACCAAAUUAAUGACAUCAUGGUUCGUCAGAAGGGAGAAAUCAAUAAGCUAGUACGUACCAAAGGCACGACCAACAUAUUGAUCCCGAAAUUCAACUACGAGCUUUUUAACUGCAACAACUUUAAUAUACGCUAUUGGAGCUGGAAUUACCGCAGCUGCUGGCACCAGACUUGCCCUCCAA
rnacentral:misc_RNA from 1 species